GACGAACGCUGGCGGCGUGCUUAACACAUGCAAGUCGAACGGAAAGGCCUCUUUCGGGGGGUACUCGCGUGGCGAACGGGUGAGUAACACGUGAGUAACCUGCCCUUGACUUUGGGAUAAAUUCAGGAAACUGGGGCUAAUACCGGAUAGGAGCUCCUGCUGCAUGGUGGGGGUUGGAAAGUUUCGGCGGUUGGGGGUGGACUCGCGGCGUAUCAGCUUGGUGGUGGGGUAGCGGCUUACCAAGGCUUUGACGGGUAGCCGGCCUGAGAGGGUGACCGGCCACAUUGGGACUGAGAUACGGCCCAGACUCCUACGGGAGGCAGCAGGGGGGAAGAUUGCACAAUGGGUGGAAGCCUGAUGCAGCAACGCCGUGUGCGGGAUGACGGCCUUCGGGUUGUAAACCGCUUUCGCUCAUGACGAAGCUUUGUGUGACGGUAGUGGGUAAAGAAGCACCGGCUAACUACGUG
rnacentral:rRNA from 1 species